GCCGAGGGGGCCCCGGGGCCGGCGGUGCAGCGUCCGCGUCGGCCCGGGCGGGACCCCGGGUCGCGGGAUCGAGUCCCGCAUGGGCUCCCCGCGGGGACCUGCUUCUCCCUCGGCCUGUGUCUCGGCCUCUCUGUGUCUCCCAUGAAUAAAUAAAUAAAAUCUUAAGAAAAAAAGAGAGAGAGAGAAACUGCCGAGUGUGGCCAGAACUCCAAACUGAGGGUGAACACGGAAAUUGGCCGCGCACCGCGUCCUUCGUGCUUAUCAUCCUCGAACCCAAUUAGCUAAAUACUUUGAUCUUCAUUUCGCGGCUAAGGAAACUAUGAGACUCGGAAAAUUAAAGAACUUAGCCCAGGCGCGGGCGGGUAAAUGAGCAAGUCGAGGUCUCGGCCAGGCUCAGGUGCGUCUGGAGAGCCCGUGUACCUGCUGCACCGGCCGCCUGGGGGAGCCGGGCCGCUGCGGUCGCCUGCUGAGCCCAGGGGCUCCUCCCUCAGUGGGAGCACCCGACCUCACUGCCUCGGGAUCAUCAAAUGCACAAGUGGAUGUUCGCAUGUGGACAACUCUGAAGCCCUGCAGCCUGAACUACACACGUGAGAAUUUUAUUCAUAACAUAUUUUGCCACUUUACUUUCUCCAAGAUGAAGAGAUAGCUAUGUUUGUCAUCACCUGAUGCUCACUUGUCUCCAUCAUGAAGCAAUCCAUCAAUCUUUAUCUGUUUAUGCCUAAGCUUAAUUAGAAACCAGGUGCCUGUGCAAAAUAAAGAAUUUGUCUAGGUA